AAUCUACGUAUAAGACACUUUCGUAGAACUUUUUUAAAUCUUUCCCAUGCUUCAUACAAGCUUUCAUCUUCCAUAUGCUUGAAUGAAGUUAAAUCAUUUCGAAGCUU